UCUAAUUUUUAUACACAAAUUGUACUCCAAACUCUAAAAUUUAUAAUCCUAGCUUCUAAUCUCCGAAUGCCUUCUUUGAAGUUACCAAAAUCCUUGUUAAGGUCGUAGGCAACCUCCUCAAAGCCCAUUGGGCAUGGUAUUUGACUAAUAGGGAUGAAGUUCUCCAUUCCUUGCCUUCAUCCAUCCAUGCCUUACUUUCAUCCCUUCUAAU
rnacentral:lncRNA from 1 species